rnacentral:tRNA from 1 species
GGCCUGUUUGUCUAGGGGUAUGAUUUCUGCUUUGGGUGCAGGAGGUCCCGGGUUCAAAUCCCGGACAGGCCC